GUGGCAGACGAUGCGCACUUUUUCCGAACUUUUUUGAUUUCCUGAAAUUCAAUAUUUUUUUUCCUCAAAAACAGCUUUUUUGGGGUUGAAUUCAACUUGGAAUGAUUUUUCCGCGAGUUCAUCCCCACUUGAACAGAUUGGCUGUCAUGAAAAUGCCUAAGUGAACAGGGUCCAUCCUGGAGUUAACAGCUAAUUUCGGUCAAUCUGCUAAGUUAACAGCCUGGUGUAGGAAUUGACAGCUGAAUAGCCAUUGUGUGGUUUGAAGAUUGAUUGGUCCUUGGAUGUCAAAGAGGCCUGGAAAAACCUUCUUGACAUAGAAGCUGGGUGGCGCUCGCAUCUGAAACGCCUGCUGUGAACGAGAGCUGGGGUCAAACCAUGCUAAAGCCUAAAGACAUCUGUAAUUUGCGCAAUGUUGCCAGCACCAUCAAUGGCAGGACUAAAGAUUGUCCCAGUAGGAACAAAAAACUUCUCCUUGUGGUUUGAAGAUUGAUUGGUCCUUGGAUGUCAAAGAGGCCUGGAAAAACCUUCUUGACAUAGAAGCUGGGUGGCGCUCGCAUCUGAAACGCCUGCUGUGAAUGAGAGCUGGGGUCAAACCAUGCUAAAGCCGAAAGACGUCUGUAAUUCGCGCAUUGU